UCAAUUAUUAAUUUAAUAGUAUAAAAUAUUGUGCAGAUGAUACUGUGACAAUAAUUGAAUCAAUAAUAUGCAACAACUAUUGUGACAAUAAUUGAAUGAAACUGAGUGAUUUCUUACAUAAGCAUCAAUAAUCAUAGAUACUGUACAAUACCGUGUGCUACUGUAAAACCACGCAUAUUACUGUACUUUUAUCACCGGAUAUUUCAA
rnacentral:lncRNA from 1 species